rnacentral:tRNA from 2 species
GGGGCUGUAGCUCAGUUCGGAUAGAGCAGCGGUUUCCUAAACCGCGUGUCGGUGGUUCGAGUCCACUCAGCCCCGCCA